GAUCGAACGGCGUGACAGAAUGCUUAACACAUGCAAGUCGGACUCGGAGUACGUUCGGACUUGGGUGGGCGCACGGGUGAGUAACGCGUAAAGAACUUGCCUCUUAGACCGGGACAACAUCUGGAAACGGAUGCUAAUACCGGAUAUUAUGGUUUUUUCGCAUGGAGGAAUCAUGAAAGCUGGAUGCGCUAAGAGAGAGCUUUGCGUCCCAUUAGCUAGUUGGUGAGGUAACGGCCCACCAAGGCAAUGAUGGGUAGCCGGCCUGAGAGGGUGAACGGCCACAAGGGGACUGAGACACGGCCCUU
rnacentral:rRNA from 1 species